rnacentral:rRNA from 1 species
AUGGGCGCAAGCCUGAUGCAGCGACGCCGCGUGAGGGAUGACGGCCUUCGGGUUGUAAACCUCUUUCGCCAGGGACGAAGCGCAAGUGACGGUACCUGGAGAAGAAGCACCGGCCAACUACGUGCCAGCAGCCGCGGUAAUACGUAGGGUGCGAGCGUUGUCCGGAAUUACUGGGCGUAAAGAGCUCGUAGGUGGUUUGUCGCGUUGUUCGUGAAAACUCACAGCUUAACUGUGGGCGUGCGGGCGAUACGGGCAGACUAGAGUACUGCAGGGGAGACUGGAAUUCCUGGUGUAGCGGUGGAAUGCGCAGAUAUCAGGAGGAACACCGGUGGCGAAGGCGGGUCUCUGGGCAGUAACUGACGCUGAGGAGCGAAAGCGUGGGGAGCGAACAGGAUUAGAUACCCUGGUAGUCCACGCCGUAAACGGUGGGUACUAGGUGUGGGUUUCCUUCCUUGGGAUCCGUGCCGUAGCUAACGCAUUAAGUACCCCGCCUGGG